ensembl:lncRNA
GUCAUAUACAUGUUUGUACCAUGCUUUGGAAUUUAGGAAUGUUCAAUAUGAAAUAGCGCUAUAUAUAAUGUAAUACUAAGGUUAUAAUUAUUAUACUAUUAUCUUACUCUUACUUUCUUUUAAAUACAGAUUUCCUUUGGGCUCAGAAUUUCCUCUGCACAUUGACAGUGGCGCAGCAAAAUAAGUUGCAGCGUGGGAUUUUGGGAAGACAUCUCUGGCCAUCUGAAGUUAUGGGGCAUCUUUGUGCUCUCAGGAUGCUACCACUGAUCAGGAUGAAGGCCUGAAGGUAAAGGCAAAAUUAAGUGUAUUUUCUCUAAUGUGCAGUGGAAUGCGUAUGUGCUGUACAUAAGCUAUGUGUGUAGUCACUGUUCA